rnacentral:rRNA from 1 species
CUUGGGUUCUAUUUUGUUGGUCAAUGGAUCCUAAGUAAUGAUUAAUAGGGACAGUUGGGGCCGUUUAUAUUUCGUUGUCAGAGGUGAAAUUCUUGGAUUUACGAAAGAUAAACUUCUGCGAAAGCAUUCGGCAAGGAUGUUUUCAUUGAUCAAGAACGAAAGUUAGGGGAUCGAAGACGAUCAGAUACCGUCGUAGUCUUAACCAUAAACUAUGCCGACUAGGGAUCAGCGGAUGUCAAUUUACGACUUCGUUGGCACCUUGUGAGAAAUCAAAGUUUUUGGGUUCCGGGGGGAGUAUGGUCGCAAGGCUGAAACUUAAAGGAAUUGACGGAAGGGCACCACCAGGAGUGGAGCCUGCGGCUUAAUUUGACUCAACACGGGGAAACUCAC